rnacentral:tRNA from 1 species
GCCCGGAUGGCGAAAUUGGUAGACGCAAGGGACUUAAAAUCCCUCGGUAGAAAUACCGUGCCGGUUCGAUUCCGGCUCCGGGCACCA